UGUCAUACGAUGCUUGACUGAUGCAUCCGAUGGUGAAGCUUUAUAGUCUGUGAGGUGUAGAUAUGAAGGAGUGGAUAACGUGAUUGUACAAGAUAGGUCUGAAUGCAACCAUAGGUUCAGAUGAGGUGUACGACUCAGUCCCAGCACAUUUGUAUCUUAAUCAUUUUAUUUUUAGUUUUCAAAAAGCAACCAGGCAGCGAUCUAUCCCUUAGGGUCUUCAUGAAUAUUCAUCUCCUGGUUUUUAUGAGAAGCGUUUCGCGAAUGCAAAAGAAUAACUUUCAUACGUGCAGGUCCUCCGAAGCUUUUAGACUUACAACCGCACUGCAUCAUAAAUGUCUGGUUUGGUACUUAGCAUUAAAUAUCAGCUCAUAUUUCCUGAGCAUUUGUAAUGGAUUAUAGUGUCAUAAAAUAUACAGUUUAGCCACAGACGAAUAUCAGACCUGAAAUAACGCAAGAGGGUUAAUAAAAUAAGCUUUAUAGUCUUGCACCACAAUCAGGUAGUGCCAACACAUUGACCUAUUUCCAAUAGAUCACGUGUUCAUAAAUGAAAAAUAAGGUGCUUAAGACCGAACAUGAUGGAAGAAAGAAAAAAGCAUCAAGGGGCUGAAAUACAUGUGUGUAAAUGAUGAAAAGCAUGGUGCGGUUUUCAGAGCGAGUACGCUUCAGUGCACACUACACUUGAACGGGGAGUGGUGGUCUUUGGCACGCUGUAAAUCUAGGGCAACCACUCGGCUGACCGGCAAGGACGCGGAGACCUGCACAUGCACAUUUAAUCGCACUCAGCAAUUGUUCACACAGAGAGCAAAUGCAUAUAUGAAGGGCCAGAGGGCCCGAACGUGGAAGGCCCUGUUUCCAUGGAUAUAUCUUGCUCUCUUAUUCCAGCCAAUGGGAUACGAUUAGAAGAUUCUCUGGUAGGGGGAGGUGCGGUUCAAGAAGGACACUGCUCAUUAGAAGGAAGUCAAAAUGCACCCACACUGCAAAUGUUGACGCAUAUGAGGAUGGAUGUUUGACUGUGUUAUAUAAUGUCCCUCGAUACUAUAGGUUUCACAGGAGGAUCUAUCCCACCAAACAGAUUGAGCACAGGUGGCCUUUGGCUCGUGAGAUAUUUUCGGCGUUACUGGAGACCACCUAAAAGAAUGAACUAUAUAACACUACAGCAUAUAUAAAAGCAGACGGGAGCAAGUGGAGGCGAAUAGGGAGAGAGGGAGGAAUUUAAUUGACCGAUCUCGUAUGACAUCGUAUCUAAUGAUAGGUACCGACAGCGGAUCCCCUUAAACUACAUGCUGGACUUGCAAAGGGAAUAGAAAACAGCAGUCUGUGUGGUCACACCAUUCAGUAUAAACCUCAUGCAAAGCAUUGUUUAAGGUCCACUAUGUCUAUGGGGGUAAGUUAACAUAUAACAUUAAAUGGC